AACGAACGCUGGCGGCAGGCUUAACACAUGCAAGUCGAACGCUCGUAGCAAUACGGGAGUGGCGGACGGGUGAGUAACGCGUGGGAACGUGCCCUGAGGUACGGAAUAACUGAGGGAAACUUCAGCUAAUACCGUAUGAGCCCCGAGAGGGGGAAAGAUUUAUCGCCUUGGGAGCGGCCCGCGUCGGAUUAGCUAGUUGGUGGGGUAACGGCCUACCAAGGCUUCGAUCCGUAGCUGGUCUGAGAGGACGAUCAGCCACACUGGGACUGAGACACGGCCCAGACUCCUACGGGAGGCAGCAGUGGGGAAUCUUGCGCAAUGGGGGCAACCCUGACGCAGCCAUGCCGCGUGAACGAUGAAGGCCUUAGGGUUGUAAAGUUCUUUACCGUGACGAUGAUGACGGUAACGGGGAAUAAGCUCCGGCUAACUUCGUGCCAGCAGCCGCGGUAAU
rnacentral:rRNA from 1 species